UUGAGUUCAAUUGCAAUUCUAGAUAAAAAAUUUAGUUCAUAAAUAAUACAAAAAACAUCAUCCAAAAAAUAUUUAACCAUCAACACAAAACAAAGAAAGUACAAGAAUAAUAAAAGAAGAAAGAUAACUAAGGUUUGUCAAGUCUUCGAUCUUCAAUCUUUGUGUUUUUUCUCACUUUCUUGCUUGCUUGACGUUUACUUUUUCUUCAGAAAACCCUUGCUUAAUUGUCUCCUUAAAUUGCUGUGAAAGGGCUUUUAAAUAAGCUCCAGAAUCCUAGACGAAAUCAAAUCUUGGAAUUUAUGCCUGGAGGCCUUGUUGUGUCAACGUCGCAGCACCUAAGCCUCUAAAACUUUUUUUCAGUGUUCUUCCUCCAACGUCGCAGCGCCACUUCUUCUGGCACUACA
rnacentral:lncRNA from 1 species